rnacentral:tRNA from 1 species
GCCCAGGUGGUGGAAUUGGUAGACACACUACUUUGAGGGGGUAGCGCCGGUUUCGGCAUGCAAGUUCGACUCUUGUCCUGGGCA